rnacentral:rRNA from 1 species
UACGUAGGGUGCAAGCGUUGUUCGGAAUCAUUGGGCGUAAAGCGCGUGUAGGUGGCUAGUUAAGUCGGGUGUGAAAUCUCGGGGCUUAACUCCGAAACUGCAUUCGAUACUGCCGUGCUUGAGGACUGGAGAGGAGACUGGAAUUUACGGUGUAGCGGUGAAAUGCGUAGAUAUCGUAAGGAAGACCAGUGGCGAAGGCGGGUCUCUGGACAGUUCCUGACGCUGAGGCACGAAGGCCAGGGGAGCAAACGGG